rnacentral:rRNA from 1 species
UUCUGUAAGCCUGUGAAGGUGAGUUGAGAAGCUUGCUGGAGGUAUCAGAAGUGCGAAUGCUGACAUGAGUAACGACAAUGGGUGUGAAAAACACCCACGCCGAAAGACCAAGGGUUCCUGCGCAACGUUAAUCGACGCAGGGUUAGUCGGUUCCUAAGGCGAGGCUGAAAAGCGUAGUCGAUGGGAAACAGGUUAAUAUUCCUGUACUUCUGGUUACUGCGAUGGAGGGACGGAGAAGGCUAGGCCAGCUUGGCGUUGGUUGUCCAAGUUUAAGGUGGUAGGCUGAAAUCUUAGGUAAAUCCGGGGUUUCAAGGCCGAGAGCUGAUGACGAGUCGUCUUUUAGAUGACGAAGUGGUUGAUGCCAUGCUUCCAAGAAAAGCUUCUAAGCUUCAGGUAACCAGGAACCGUACCCCAAACCGACACAGGUGGUCGGGUAGAGAAUACCAAGGCGCUUGAGAGAACUCGGGUGAAGGAACUAGGCAAAAUGGCACCGUAACUUC